GACGAAGGAUGCAAGCGUUAUCCGGAUUCAUUGGGUUUAAAGGGAGCGUAGGUGGUCUGCUAAGUCAGUGGUGAAAUCUCUCGGCUUAACUGAGAAAUUGCCAUUGAUACUGGUAGACUUGAGUAUAGUUGCCGUUGGCGGAAUAUGACAUGUAGUGGUGAAAUACAUAGAGAUGUCAUAGAACACCGAUUGCGAAGGCAGCUAACGAAACUAUAACUGACACUGAGGCUCGAAAGUGCGGGGAUCAAACAGG
rnacentral:rRNA from 1 species